CAGGCAAAAGAAUCAGCCAAUUAGCUCAGCAAACUUGGAUUCAAUCAAACAGUUAUCUAAAUAGCGACUGCAGAUUCAUCAAGUCAGGCCCAAAAUAGUAGACGUGACAGCACAUUCCUACACUGAGAAGGCUUCCCCCUGGCAGCAGCAGGCCUCCCAUAGACUCCAGAGUUGCCAAAUCGCUCCAUCAGAUAGAUCCUGCCAGCUUCCCUUUGGCCUACGUGGGGAGACAGAUUCCUGGUGCUUCCUGCUCUGCCACCUCCCCUGAUUUCUCUCCGAAUGUGUUGUCACACACACUUCCUUUCCUCUCAUUGGAAGUAAUCUAACAGCUCAUGGC
rnacentral:lncRNA from 10 species